CACUCAUCAAGGGUCUUUGUCUCAAAGGUGACAUCCAUCAAGCAUUGCACUUUCAUGAUAAGGUUAUUGCGAUGGGAUUUCAUUUGGACCAAGUUAGUUAUGGAACCUUGAUUAAUGGCUUGUGUAAAGUUGGUGAAACAAGAGCAGCCCUUGAAUUGCUCCGACGGGUUGAUGGAAAAUUGGUUCAGCUUGAUGCGGUAAUGUACAGUUCGAUUAUUGAUAGCAUGUGUAAAGAUAAACAUGUUAAUGAUGCUUUUGAUUUAUAUUCUGAAAUGGCUGCAAAGAGAAUUUCUCCUAAUGUUGUCACUUAUAGUGCUUUAAUUAGUGGAUUUUGCAUUGUUGGUAAAUUGAAAGAUGCAAUUGAUUUGUUUAAUAAAAUGAUAUUGGAAAACAUCAAUCCGAAUGUGUAUACCUUUAGUAUAUUGGUUGAUGGAUUUUGUAAGGAAGGAAGGGUGAAAGAAGCUAAAAAUGUGUUAGCUAUGAUGAUGAAACAAGGCAUUAAACCUGAUGUUGUUACUUACAGCUCUUUAAUGGAUGGAUAUUGUCUGGUAAAUGAAGUGAACAAGGCCGAGAGUAUAUUCAACACUAUGUCUCAUAGGGGAGUGACUGCUAAUGUUCAGAGCUACAGUAUCAUGAUUAAUGGAUUUUGUAAGAUUAAAAUGGUGGAUGAAGCCAUGAAACUUUUCAAAGAAAUGCAUCACAAACAAAUUUUUCCUGAUGUGAUAACUUAUAGUGCCCUUAUCGAUGGAUUGUGCAAAUCUGGAAGAAUAUCAUAUGCUUUGGAACUUGUCGAUGAGAUGCAUGAUCGAGGGCAACAACCUGAUAUAAUUACCUACAAUUCUAUAUUGGAUGCUUUAUGCAAAAAACAUCAUGUUGACAAAGCAAUUGCAUUAUUAACAAAAUUGAAAGGCCAAGGUAUUCGACCAGAUAUGAACACAUACACUAUUCUUGUCAAGGGAUUGUGCCGAAGUGGAAAAUUGGAGGAUGCACGAAAAGUUUUUGAAGAUCUUUUGGUCAAAGGCUACAAUCUUGAUGUCUAUGCAUAUACCGUUAUGAUCCAAGGGUUUUGUGACAAGGGCUUGUUUGACGAAGCGUUGGCCUUGCUGUCAAAAAUGGAAGAGAAUGGAUGCAUUCCAGAUGCUAAAACUUAUGAAAUAAUUAUCCUUUCUCUGUUCGAAAAAGAUGAAAAUGAUAUGGCAGAGAAACUUCUUCGUGAAAUGAUCAUGCGAGGUCUAUUGUAAGAUUGAAACUAUUUGAUAGCAUCAUUUCAUUUUAUGUACUUGCCUCUACUGGUGGAAAAGAAACAUUUUUUUAUUGUUUUUGUUAACUGUGUUUACCAAAACCUUUAUACUUCUUGUAUAUCUUCCAUUUUGAUUUCUCUAUAUGAUAUUGUCUUACCUCAUUGAGAGUUCCAUCAAUCAAUGAUGAAAGUUGUGCACCGUCUUAUCUGAAGAUUUGGAUGUUAGUAUACCUUUCUGCUUUGAAUUACAUUUAUUUAUUUAUCUUGAGUGAAACAUUGAAUGAUCUGAACUAUUAUAUAGACUAAUUUCGAUGAAAGGGUUGCCUUAACAGAUGAUUUGGUAGCCAGCAUAUUGGUAAGAAGGACUUGGUGUGCUCGUUUAGCUAAAUGAAAUUGCUGCAUAAUGAGUAUCUGUGGCCCCAUUACAGCUUCCAUAAAAUAUAGUUGUCCCCGCAGAAUUUGUUUUGCUGCAUAAUUCUAAUUUUUCCAGUAGUGAGACAGAAUUUCUUAAUCAUAAUUGAACUUAAGAAGUACCAGUUGUACGAAAACAGGGUGAUUACGAUUUGGCAUGUUGAGCCUAUAUUAUGGAUUCUAAAUUGAAUUGGCACAAAACAAGUAACUUCAUUUAUUUUAUCUUGGUUAUACUUGUACUUCUAUAUAAUUCUAAUCUUAGGAAGCUAACUAUUUUAGAAUGCUAAACAACAGAGGCAAGCUUGACUUAGAAAAUAGAAACCAUAACAUGACUUUGUUCAUAUUGGUUGGUUGGUUUUGAUUAGUCGGCAGAUGGUAGUUACUUCAUAGUUACACGGUUGGUCUUUUCUGGUACAAAGUUUUUUGUGUUGUUGAAGAUUAGUUAUUUUCAUAUGUUAAAAACAGUUUUUGCGCACAAAUGAACUUAGAGAAGUGAUACAAUGACCGAAACUCUCUCUUCUCUCUCCUCAAACACUCCUUUCCAGUGACUUGGCUCUUCUCCGGUGGGGUAUCCUCCUCGUUUUCACUUGGUAACAUCUCAUUUUUCUGCUGUUUCUGUCCAAUUGAUUAGAUUCAUCUUUUGUUCAAAGAUAGUUCUGGUAGGCCUUAUGGGUUACCUUCAUUUCUCUGCUUCUAAGAGUCAUUGAGUUGAAACCAGGUUUUGAUAUUUCUGAUGAAGGAAAAGCAGUGGUUGCUGCUGCUAUUGAAUUGCUUCAUAAUCAAGUCAUGCAAUAGUUUCUUUUUCCAGGGUGACGGUUCUUUGUGCUGCCAUUCAUUAGUUGUUAUAAGAAAUUAAGUUUGGCGAUUUUGCUAGCGAUAUUAUUAUAAUAUCUGGAAUGUAUAUGUACAAUAUCUUUUUUUUGUGUUAAAUAGGACUUAAUUAAUUGUGAGGGGAUUAGUAUGUGAUUAACUUUAAUAGUGUAAGUUUCAUUGUGGAGGAUAUAAAAGAACUACAAGCAUAUUAUCAUAUCUUGACAUUGUGAAGAAUUUAAUAUCUAAUGGAAAAUUUCACACAUGGUGGCUAAAAUAGUUGUGCAAGCAUCAUUAUUACUAUCAGAUAAACUACUUGUAUUAGACAUAAUAUCUCCAAUCAGUUUACAUGAUCCUUCACCUAUGACAACAAAAAAAUUUCCACAUAAUUUUUUUUAUCAUAAACUAGACGAUAAAUAGUUGUCCACAACAUUAGUCUUAAUGUAUUCAUCCAUAAAACAAUUAGUUUUUCUUUUCAUUUCUUGAAUGUAGAAUAUAGAGUAUAGAUACUUUGAGUGGUUUGGUUAAAAUUUUAAAAUAAUUCCUAUUGAAUUCAUGAUUUUUGAUACAAAACAAUCCAACAUUACUCUUUUUAUAGAUUAGAUAAGCUGUUAUAGUAAGCAUCUUGAAUUCUUAGGGUUAUGACUUAUGAUUGCUUCUUUUCUGUUUAUUCAUAUUGUUCAUGUUGCAAUCUAGAUUAGCUAACGUAGUUGGUAGUUGUUGUUACAGGGGCAAGAAAGAUUGGAUUCAAAGGUCAGGUGUAGUGGUCUGGAUGUGGCUUUGAGACUGGUAUGUUUUGUUGGUUAUAAGCGUUAUACUUGAAGUAGAAGCUUUCAUCGUUCCCGUAUGUUAGUUUUAAUUUUUAGCUACUGGUAUGUUUUACUCUUUUGGGUUAAUUCAAGUAGAAUUCGAGUUUUUACAAUGGUUUUGUAAGCUACACCUUUUUCGGUUUUGUUAAUUUAAUGUAUUCUUUGGUGUAGGGUUGUGUUCUUGCGGCAGCUACUUGGAAGAUCGAUGGCUUUGAGUGUGCAGAAGCUGCAUAAACAUUUUCUAUGUACAAAGUGAUGCAGCUAACGAUGGAAUGCUGCUUGAGAUCUGUAAUAUUUGAAAGUGAUUGUGAAUGUUUAAUCAAAAUAAUUAACGAAGAGUUGGAAGAACCUAGGAACUAUGUUUGUAAAAUUGUAAGAGGCAUCAAAGUUCUGAGCAGGAAGUUCAGUAGGUGUCAUUUUUUGUUAGAAGGACAGGAAAUUGUGUGUCUCAUAACAUGGCACAAUUAGCUUUAUUUUAGCCCAAUAUAGUGUGGCUUGAGGAAAUUCAUGAGUAAAUGUUCACAUGAAAGUGAGUUUAACAAUUAUGGUAGUUUUACCUUUGUGUAUUUCUCUACCCCUAUUUUUCAUCCUUAAUUAUUUCGAAGUUUAUAUUUUGUUUUGCAAUCGAUUAACAUAUUUUGGUUCUUUGUUUUUGUUUUUCAAUUUUUUCCAGUGCUGCUAAAAGUCUGGUGUCAGUGUCGAUGUUGCGGUGGUUCGAGCUGUUGUGCACCUAUGGUAUUAUCUCCCAUGAAAGUUUCUAAUAAGUUGCAGUCGUAUGGUUUCAUCUACUUUAUUAAUAUCGUGUAUAUUUUCUAUAGAAGCUUAUAUAGAGUUUGCUUGGUGAGUUUAUCAAAACCACAAUGAGUCGCCGUGAUUUAGAAAAAGGUGUAGCUUUUAUAGUGACUUUGUCAAAGCUUAUUUUCUAUUGUUGCUGUUCUUUUCUACAUAAUACACUUCUGUUAUGUUUGCACUUUAUACUUCAGUAUAGAUAGUCAAAGUGUCUGUUUGGUGUAGCUUUUUUCACUACCAAACGACGUUUGCCAUCCUUCACCGUGGUUUUUUCACUUUGCAGCAUGUUUGGUUACCUUUUCCAAAAUCAAUUCAACCUUCCAAAAUCAAUUCUACAAGAAGCUACAAAUCUCAGCUUCUACGGUGAGGCUUAAAUCAAUUCUGCCUUUAUUGUUUGUUGAUAGUUAGAUAACUCACUUUAUUCCAUCUUUGCCCUCACUUCCAUCUUUUUAUCUUUUUCUUAGAUCUGUCUCGUUCUUAAAUUUCUCUUCCUCUUGUAUAACCCGUUUCAAUCUCUACGUUUUCUCUCAUCUUCAUUGUUUACUCUAGUCCAUAAAAAUUAAUAUUUGAGAAAUUUAAUUUUUUGACGUCAAGCUUCCAGCAAGUUCUUCUUUUUGUGUUACAAGUUCUAGCAAAUUCUUGUGUGCUUCUCUCUAUUAUACCCUUGUUAAAAACUGAACAUGCUAGUAAUUUGACGAAAAUAUAUUAAACUAUGGCUUUGAAGUUUAUGGAAAAAUUGAAUGUUCUAAACUUUUUUUAAAUAUUGUUUUUGUAAAAUUUGUUGAAAAUAUAUUAAUACUUUUUAAAAAUUUGUAAAAUUUGUCUCAAAGGUGACAUCCAUCAAGCAUUGCACUUUCAUGAUAAGGUUAUUGCGAUGGGAUUUCAUUUGGACAAAGUUGGUUAUGGAACCUUGAUUAAUGGCUUGUGUAAAGUUGGUGAAACAAAAGCAGCCCUUGAAUUGCUCCGACGAGUUGAUGGAAAAUUGGUUCAGCCUGAUGUGGUAAUGUACAAUACCAUUAUCGAUGGUAUGUGUAAAGAUAAACAUGUUAAUGAUGCU
rnacentral:lncRNA from 1 species